CCUACGGGAGGCAGCAGUAGGGAAUAUUGCACAAUGGGGGAAACCCUGAAGCAGCAACGCCGCGUGGAGGAUGAAGGUUUUCGGAUUGUAAACUCCUUUUGUUAGAGAAGAAAAUGACGGUAACUAACGAAUAAGCACUGGCUAACUACGUGCCAGCAGCCGCGGUAAUACGGAGGGUGCAAGCGUUACUCGGAAUCACUGGGCGUAACGAGCGCGGAGGCGGGAUAGCAAGUCAGAUGUGAAAUCCUAUGGCUUAACCAUAGAACUGCAUUUGAAACUGUUAUUCUAGAGUAUGGGAGAGGUAGGUGGAAUUCUUGGUGUAGGGGUAAAAUCCGUAGAGAUCAAGAGGAAUACUCAUGGCGAAGGCGACCUGCUAGAACAUAACUGACGCUGAUGCGCGAAAGCGUGGGGAGCAAACAGGAUUAGAUACCCGGGUAGUC
rnacentral:rRNA from 1 species